ensembl:lncRNA
CAUUAGUGUGUAUGAGUACAGAAGAAGCACCAUGGUCCUAUUCAGAUGGAUUGAAGUGUUUUUAUUCUCUCUACUAAUACUUCAGUGUAAAGGCAACAAUGUAACAACAACACAGACAGUAACACACACAUCAAAAAAUACAAGUAUUAUUGAACCUACAUCAGUAAAUGGAACAGUAAGGACUUCAUCAGGUGACCACACAACAACACCAAUCCCCACAACAUCAAAAUCAACAAAUGCACCUACUGUAUCACCAUCAAGCCAACCUACAUCAACAACUGGAACAACUGAAAGAAAUACUUUAUCAGAAAUUUGGAAACGGGUGAUCAUUGUUCUUGUGGGAAUUCUGGUACUAAUACUUGCUAUAGUCAUCAACACAUGGAAUAAACCUAACGGAAGCAAAACACAGGUGGAAGAAGCGACUAAGGUGGCGAGUGAACGCAGCUGCCAAAAAAAUGCUGAUGCUGAAGAUGUCUCCUAUGUCUCUGUCAGUUUUAUCAGGAGGUCCAAGUGUAAAGCCAAGGUCUGUAAUGAUAAUGAUGAAGAUGACACUGUGACUUACAGCACUGUGAAAUUUCCUUCCUCUUCUGCUGGCGUUUCCACUGAUCCCAGCAACCUCUAUUCCACCAUCAACAAACAAAAGAAACACGUUCCAGCCUGAAGGUUACAUUUUUUUAUGAUUGAUUGUUUGCAUUAUAUGAUAAAUAUGUGAAAAACAUUUUUACAUUUUCCUUUAACUAAAAAAAAAAGAAAGAAAAAAAUGACCUGCAUUUGAUAAGAUGACACACAUGAUCGACACACUGGCUAAAGUUUCCCACCUUUUAUUUAAGUUGAGUUGUUGUUAAUAUCUAUCAUAUGUCAAUGAUAGUGAUCUCUUUGGUAUACAAUUGUGAAAAAAUUUGCUCUUAAUGUACAAUCAUGAAUACAAACAGCACCAAGCUUUCGAGGUAGUGAAACAAAGAAACCACUGACACUCCCUCUAGAGGUUGAGGUUAACGUUUUAUACUGUGUGCUCAUGUACUGUAGGCAAAGUCAAUAUUUUAUAUCUCUUUGCCUUUUUAAUAUUGUUACUUUGUUUUGGAAAUGUAACAAAAACUUACUUGUUUAAGUCCAAUUGAAUUACCUGAUCUAACUGUGUCUAUGAUAUAAUAUUAAUUAUUACUCCAACUGUAAGUUUUGUAAGUUUUGCAUCUACUAAUUAAGAUGUUUUUUGUGGAAAAAAUAAAAUAUAAUGUAAAAAAAUCCCCCCAAAAACAUCCCUGCUUUUCCACAUUCCAUUAAGCUGCUAUAACACAAAUGAACACCUAACUAUCUGCAUAUAAAACCAGAAAGUAUAACAUCUAUGACUUAGCUUAAUUUAUACUGAUGUUUUAGCUUACAAAUAAAUAAACACAUGAUUCAC